CCUACGGGUGGCUGCAGUGGGGAAUAUUGCACAAUGGGCGAAAGCCUGACGCAGCGACGCCGCGUGAGUGAUGAAGUUCUUCGGAUCGUAAACCUCUGUCAGCAGGGAAGAACAUUCACUGAGCUGAUCAGCAGUCAAUGGAUGGUUCCUUCCCAGCAACCACCGUCUAACUACGUGCCAGCAGCCGCGGCAAUAAGGAGGGUGCUAGCGUUAGUCUGAAUUACUGGGCGUAAAGCGAGCGUAGGCGGUAGGUCAAGUCAAGGGGGAAAUCCCCGCGCUCAACGCGGGAACUGCCGUUGAAACUGGCAGGCUGGAGUGUGUGAGAGGAUAGUGGAAUUCCAGGUGUAGGGGUGAAAUGCGUAGAUAUUUGGAGGAACAUCAGUGGCGAAGGCGACUAUCUGGCACAUAACUGACGCUGAGGAGCGAAAGCGUGGGUAGCAAACAGGAUUAGAUACCCCAGUAGUC
rnacentral:rRNA from 1 species